UGUCUGCAGUUUACGAAUUCGCCCUUCUUGGUCAUUUANAGGAAGUAAAAGUCGUAACAAGGUUUCCGUAGGUGAACCUGCGGAAGGAUCAUUAGUUGACAGGCCGUUCGCGCGGUACCUGAAACCCUCCUUACAGCGGCCGGAGUUCGGCGCAAGGGCGAAGCCCCUCGCGGGGCGGAGUCCGCCGGAAUCUCGCAAACCAUGCCUUGAAACUGCGGUCUGAGAGAAUGAUGAAUUAGCGAAAACUUUCAACAACGGAUCUCUUGGUUCUGGCAACGAUGAAGAACGCAGCGAAACGCGAUAGGUAAUGUGAAUUGCAGAAUUCAGUGAAUCAUCGAAUCUUUGAACGCACAUUGCGCCCCUUGGUAUUCCGGGGGGCAUGCCUGUUCGAGCGUCAUUACAACCCCUCAAGCUCAGCUUGGUGUUGGGGCCUGCCUACUGGCAGCCCUUAAAAUCAGUGGCGGCGCCAUCUGGCUCUAAGCGUAGUAAUUUCUCUCGCUAUAGGGUCCCGGUGGACGUUUGCCAACAACCCCUAACUUUCUAUGGUUGACCUCGGAUCAGGUAGGGAUACCCGCUGAACUUAAGCAUAUCAAUAAGCGGAGGA
rnacentral:rRNA from 1 species